UUUCAUAACUUAUUACUUAAAUUUUAAUUUGUUUAGAUGAAAAAAAAAUUCAAAAUAUUUGGCAUUUUCUAAAUGGAAAAAGCCACAUUUUGAAGCCCCUCAAAACAUGGUUGUGACACCCCAACCCCUGACUCUCACCCUAUCUGUGUAGCUUGCUUGCCCACUGGUUCCAUAGCCAUUACCAACAUCCAACUUUCUUGAGAUAUUCUUAUGGAGAAUCUUUCACAUCACUCAAACACUUCAAGUUCUUCAUCAGCAAGUGAAGAUGAAGAUACAAAGUUAGAAGUGACAAGAGUUUUAAGAAGGAGAUUGAUUGUGUUAUUACUCCAAUUAUUAAGUGACUCAUCCAUUAAUAAGGAAUGAGUCUCUACAUCAUCAUUUAUAGGUUCACUUUUCAUUCAAGAACUUUUAGAUGGUUCAUCUAGCACAUGUUAUGAACUAAUGCGAAUGAAAAAACAUGGAUUUAUUUCUCUA